rnacentral:rRNA from 1 species
UAGCUAAAUGCGGAAGAGAUAAGUGCUGAAAGCAUCUAAGCACGAAACUUGCCCCGAGAUGAGUUCUCCCUGAGACUUUAAGUCUCCUGAAGGAACGUUAAAGACGACGACGUUGAUAGGCCGGGUGUGUAAGCGCAGCGAUGCGUUGAGCUAACCGGUACUAAUGAACCGUGAGGCUUAACCUU